UCUCUGGUGGUCCAGUGGUUAGGACUCGGCACUUGCAGCACUAUCACUGCUGAGGCCCUAGGUUCGAUCCCUGGUCAGGGAG